GGGUCUUGGUACUGGACCUCCUUAUGAAUAUUCACAUGUGUGUAUGGAAUCGCGGGUUUUGAUUGGCUGACGGGUGAGAAGUCCUCAUAAAUUCGGGUUUUGUCUAAGCGCUGUGUUUUACGCUAUUCACACAAAGGACGAUAACGAUAAAGAUAUGUUUGUAAAAUCGUUCUAAAUAUAAAGGAAUAACAAAGUCCACACCACAACAAUAAAAAUUAAAACACAGAGAAGCAAUAUCAUUGGAAUCAUUUUCUUCCACCUCCUCCACCUCCGACCGAGUCACUUCCGGCUGAGAUAAUGAGCGCGCCACUCUGAAGACACUUAAGGAAAUGGCAGCAACAUGGUCCUGGAGGGCUAAACUAAAACCAAAAGAUGAAGCUGCAUAUUUUUCAUCCAUGCUCAAAGAUAAGGAUGGAUUUGAAAUAAAAUAUAUAAAUUCAUUUAAAGGUUUGUUCUGAGACUGAACAACAGGAGCAUGCUUUGGUCAGCUGUGCAGCAGGAGAUGGGUCAAAGGAGGUUUGUUCUGAGACUGAACAACAGGAGCAUGCUUUGUUCAGCUGUGCAGCAGGAGAUGGGUCAAAGGAGAUCUCAACAACGUCUGAUUCUCAGCUGACAUGUCAUGACAACACUCAACAGAUACAGACCCUGCCUUAGGAGGCCCAUCUAAAGAUCAUUGCAAGAAGGACAAAUAUCACAGCAGGAGGGAAGAGCACGAACAACCUGGAAUGAAGAAAGCUAGGCAGCCUGUUGUGAACCCACCAGGCACCUCAGAUGAUAUCGAGACUUCCUUUAGAGGCUCAUCUCAAGGGAAUCACGAAAAUUCUGCUGAAAAAAAUCUGGACGAUGCUAAAAGGAAGCAGAAACGAACCUGGUCUUCAACUGAAAUUGCAGCAGUACAGAGGCACUUCCGCGACCACAUAGCAGGGGGUAAACUCACCACUAAAAUUGAA